AUUUCCCUACCUACAAUUCUAACCUAGACCAUAAGAAUAAGAUCAGUUGUUUCUCUUGGAUUUUUUGGACGGAACCUAGAUACGAAAAGACCCUAAGGUAUCAUCUUCUUGUUGGCCAUUUUAGAAGGCUGAAGCAGCGGCAAAUAAACCAAAUGGGAGGCCAAUCCCCAUCAUUACCCACCUCUAACCAAAGACCCUGAACUUCUAACACUUGAACACCUAUCAGUAGCCGUUUUUAGGAUCUUCAACGACAACAGCCGUAGCUGUUCACCCCAGCUCCCCGCCAUCGCUGACCAGCCCGAACCAACGGCAUCACGCCAUCCAUCAGACGACACCAUCCCUUUUCCAAAUAACCAGCGACCACCGGCUACUAUUUUUAGUCCAAACGAGAGCAGCAACAGCGAAAAGUUUCUUUUAUUUUCUUCUCGUUGUUUGGUUGUCGUCGAAAAAGCAGUGGCGUUUCAGUUAAGUUUGAGUUCCGUUAAAGCCCAUUCAUAGGUCAUUAGCUCCGUCUAUUGGGUCAGUUCAGUUCCGUUCGAGGUCACCAGUCGUGGUUCCUACGUUGUUGAUUUCAUUUUCCAGUUAGAUCUCUGUCGCAAACAUGGCUGCAUCGGCGAGAAAGGUAAUAACAAACUUUGUAUAAUUUUAGUCUACUACUUGUACUUAUCCAUGGCAUGCGUAUAUCAAUUGAUUGUUCCUAAAUAUUUAUAUUUGAACGUGUGUUCAUUUCUGUGUAUGCUUAGCUCGGACUGUUUUUGCUUCACUAGUUUAAUUAGUGAACAUUUUGAAGUGAUGCUGCUCUUUGUUAAACCUGCAGGUUGCCUUCAUGUUUCAUUAAUCUUUAAAGUUACUGAUAACUUUUGGUGGGUUUGAAUUCGUGUAUGGUUGACUUUUCGAUUCCAUCCGUGAUUUGUUACUUAUCGAGUUCAAAGUAGUGAAACAAUUAAUUGUCUGGCUAUGUUGAGGUCCAAUGCUUUCGUCCUCUAUUAUUUUAUUCAAGUUCAAUGUUAAUUGUUUGUUUGGUAUGGUGCCGUUGUUUGCGUAAUUGCUUUCCUUAAUUUUGAAUUUGCGCGCGUAGCUAUCUAUUUGUAUAUUUACCAGAAUUGGUUAUAGCUGAACAUGAUUUUGUCACAGUAUAGAAAUUGGUUUGCUAUUCUUCAACUGAACUACGUCAAAUUACAUAAAAGGGGCCCGGAUGUGCAUUUCAUGUGACCCUAGUCCAAUUUCAAACAAGC
rnacentral:lncRNA from 1 species